rnacentral:rRNA from 1 species
GGUACCUUCGGUGCCCGAGUUGUAAUUUGGAGAGGGCAACUUUGGGGCCGUUCCUUGUCUAUGUUCCUUGGAACAGGACGUCAUAGAGGGUGAGAAUCCCGUGUGGCGAGGAGUGCGGUUCUUUGUAAAGUGCCUUCGAAGAGUCGAGUUGUUUGGGAAUGCAGCUCUAAGUGGGUGGUAAAUUCCAUCUAAAGCUAAAUAUUGGCGAGAGACCGAUAGCGAACAAGUACAGUGAUGGAAAGAUGAAAAGAACUUUGAAAAGAGAGUGAAAAAGUACGUGAAGUUGUUGAAAGGGAAGGGCAUUUGAUCAGACAUGGUGUUUUGUGCCCUCUGCUCCUUGUGGGUAGGGGAAUCUCGCAUUUCACUGGGCCAGCAUCAGUUUUGGUGGCAGGAUAAAUCCAUAGGAAUGUAGCUUGCCUCGGUAAGUAUUAUAGCCUGUGGGAAUACUGCCAGCUGGGACUGAGGACUGCGACGUAAGUCAAGGAUGUUGGCAUAAUGGUUAUAUGCCGCCCGU